rnacentral:rRNA from 1 species
AGCAGCCGCGGUAAUUCCAGCUCCAAUAGCGUAUAUUAAAGUUGUUGCAGUUAAAAAGCUCGUAGUUGAAUUUCGGGAUUGGCGCAUCGGUCGUGCCUUACGGGGUAUGAACUGGUGCAGUCAAUUUCUCACCUUCUGGAGAACCGCGAUGUCCUUAAUUGGGUGCCGCGGGGAACCAGGACCUUUACUUUGAAAAAAUUAGAGUGUUUAAAGCAGGCAUUUUUGCUUGAAUACAUUAGCAUGGAAUAAUAAAAUAGGACGGCAUGGUUCUAUUUUGUUGGUUUCUAGGACCACCGUAAUGAUUAAUAGGGAUAGUUGGGGGCAUUAGUAUUCAAUUGUCAGAGGUGAAAUUCUUGGAUUUAUUGAAGACUAACUACUGCGAAAGCAUUUGCCAAGGAUGUUUUCAUUAAUCAAGAACGAAAGUUAGGGGAUCGAAGACGAUCAGAUACCGUCGUAGUCUUAACCAUAAACUAUGCCGACUAGGAAUCAGACGAUGUUAAUUUUUUCAAUGACUCGUUUG